CCUAUGAGCGCUAAAACUAAAAACUGUUCACGACUUCACAUACUCUAUCUCUCGCUAACCCUAAUUAGCUGAAACACCAAAAGAACCGCAUCGUACCUCUCCUCUCUAAAAAUUCGAAACCGUUCUGCUCUCUGCCAAUCUGCCAUUGAUAUUCAUCAAGGUUUGUCUUUAAUUUUAAACUUGUGCCUUUUUCAUCUUCAACCUUCUCAAUUUAAACUUCUUUUUCCCCCGGAAAUCUCUCAAAUAUGGUGAUAAUCGAACAAUGAAACGACGAACCUGCUGCAGCACCAGAGAUCAACCACAAGAAACUCGAUUCAGAACCUGAAACGAGUUCCGUCAACAACAAAGAAGAAACGAAUGGUUUCGAAACGGCUAGCGAAGGCGAUCAUUCUGAUAGAGGUGCCGACUUUGGCGACGACGAACAACAACAACAAGAAAAAUCUGCGCCAUUGACGGCUGUUAAGGAUGAUUCUUAUGAAGAUGCUCUUGAUGAUGAUCAAUUGAAACAGGGAAACUAUGAUGAGAUAGUCAAGGAAUUUUCAAAAGCUAUAGAACUAAAUCCAACAUAUGUCAAAGCUCUUCUCAGGAGAGGAGAGGCUUAUGAAAAGCUUGAACGAUAUGAAAAGGCCAUCUCUGAUAUGAAAAAAAUAUUGGAAGUGGAAGCUUCAAAUGAGCAGGCUAGGAGGAAUAUUUUUCGAAUGGAGCCAUUAUCCCGAGAAAAGGCGGAAAAGAUGAAGGAAAAAUGAUUGGACAUUGGUGAUGGAGUUUAUAUUCUAAUAGAAAAAGUCGCUAGAAAGAGUACUGGACUGGCCCUUCCCUGACCCUAUCCUUUCUGUUUACCGUGUGAUAAUAAUUCUUACUUAUCUGAUCAAGAAGCGCGGCAUGACUGUAUCUCGAGCUCUUGAAUACGUGAGAAGCAAAAGAUCGCAGGCAUCCCCUAAUUCUGGCUUAAUAAAGCAGCUCCGAUAGUAUGAACAAUCACUAGGAGGUGUGAAGUUCUUAAUGAAUUUUAUGUUUCCUCAAAUAACUAUUAUCUCUGCUGUAUUUGUCUUUCCUUUGCCAUUUAAUUAUUUUCUUGUAUUCCUCUUUGGACUUCCUUUCUUUCCGUCUAGAUCAUCUCUUUUGCUUCGCUUAUCAGAUACAAAGACACAAGGAUCAACCAGUCAGGUUGGUUAUCUGACUAUACAGUAACAAAACUAAGUGCAAUUUUGAGACAAUAGCAUAACAUUCCUGCUCAUGGCAUCGUUGCCACCAAAUACAGGGUAUGUAUUUCAAGCUGUGAGAAAUGUAGGUGUAAAAGUCGUUGUCUCAAACUUUGAUACUCGAUUAAGACCUCUGUUGAGGGUUCUGACUUGUGAACAUUGGUUUGAUGUUAUGAUCGUUUCAGCAAAACUAACUGGCUAUCAGUCGGAUUUUACUUGGAAAUGUCUGUACAUUAUUGAGUUUGAACUGGAUUUCUCUAACAGGUUGCUGCUGAGAAGCCAAAUCGAACAAUAUUUCUGAAGGCGUGUGAUCUUCUGGGUGUAAAGCCAGUGGAUGAUGUUCAUGUUGGUGAGAUCGUAGAAACGAUGUAUGGGGCGCAAGGGUUACAGGCUUCAUGUUGUUUAGCGUGUGACAAAGAUGAUAUGCGGCAACUCCAGUUUUGCAAAUAGAGAGAGUGCUAGAAUCUGCAAAUUUAGAUGUUUUAAUGCAAUAUGUGGCUUAUUUGCCUUUCUAUUUAAUUUAUUAUUUAUUUAAGGAGCCAAUAAUGGUCAUUAUGUCAAUAUUGAAACAAACGUUGUAAGUUACGUAGCACGUUCUCAUACAUUGUAACAUACACCAUAUUUCAAUAUAUGAUUUCACUUUUUAAAA